GCACACAACACAGGGCGAGACUGGGGACACCUGUGAGCAUCUGUGAGCCUCUUCACUAGUCUGGUGAGUGUUCCCGUGCUCAAGGAGCACAACAUUAAUUAGCAAAUGAAGAAGGUCCUGAGAAAGAGGCUGCGAAAGAAAACCUACUCAACGUGAAGAUGAUGAGAAUGAAGACCUUUAUGAUGAUCUGCUUCCACUUAAAGAAUA
ensembl:lncRNA LINC01934 long intergenic non-protein coding RNA 1934